AGCAGUCGAACGAGAACUUUUCCUGUAGCAAUACAGGGGAAAGUUUUAGUGGCCCUUNGGUGCGUAACACGUGGGCAAUCUGCCGAGAAGUGGGGGAUAGCUCGCCGAAAGGCGAAUUAAUACCGCAUGUGGUGAGGGACGACAUCUUCCUGAAUCCAAAGCCGGGAAUAGCAAUAUUCCUGGCGCUUUUUGAGGAGCCCGCGGCCUAUCAGCUAGUUGGUGAGGUAACGGCUCACCAAGGCUAUGACGGGUAGCUGGUCUGAGAGGACGACCAGUCACACUGGAACUGAGACACGGUCCAGACACCUACGGGUGGCAGCAGUCGAGAAUUUUUCUCAAUGGGGGAAACCCUGAAGGAGCGACGCCGCGUGGAGGAUGAAGGCUUUCGGGUUGUAAACUCCUGUCAUUUGGGAACAAGGUGCACACGUUAACUGCGUGGGCAUUGAUAGUACCAGAAGAGGAAGAGACGGCUAACUCUGUGCCAGCAGCCGCGGUAAUACAGAGGUCUCAAGCGUUGUUCGGAUUCAUUGGGCGUAAAGGGUGCGUAGGUGGCGCUGUAAGUCGGGUGUGAAAUUUCGAGGCUUAACCUCGAAACUGCAUUCGAUACUGCGGUGCUUGAGGACUGGAGAGGANACUGGAAUUCAUGGUGUAUCAGUGAAAUGCGUANAGAUCAUGAGGAA
rnacentral:rRNA from 1 species